rnacentral:rRNA from 1 species
GUGGGGAAUCUUCCGCAAUGGACGAAAGUCUGACGGAGCGACGCCGCGUGAGUGAAGAAGGUUUUCGGAUCGUAAAGCUCUUUCGUUAGGGACGAACGUGCUCUUUGUGAAUAAUGAGGAGUAAUGACGGUACCUAAAUAAGAAGCCACGGCUAACUACGUGCCAGCAGCCGCGGUAAUACGUAGGUGGCAAGCGUUGUCCGGAAUUAUUGGGCGUAAAGCGCGCGCAGGCGGGAUAUCAAGUCUGUCUUAAAAGUGCGAGGCUCAACCUCGUGAGGGGACAGAAACUGGUAUUCUUGAGUGUCGGAGAGGAAAGUGGAAUUCCAAGUGUAGCGGUGAAAUGCGUAGAGAUUUGGAAGAACACCAGUGGCGAAGGCGACUUUCUGGACGAUGUCUGACGCUGAGGCGCGAAAGCUAGGGGAGCGAACGGGAUUAGAUACCCGAGUAGUCC